rnacentral:lncRNA from 1 species
UUUGUUUUGUUUGUUGUAUGUGAGGAGUCAAUUGUAAGCCCAUUUAUUGGCAUUUGUUUCCUAUGAUCAUUCUUUGGAGAUUGGUAUAAGUCCAUAGAUUGACAUCUGAUAUCCAUGUUUGUUUUAGGAGAUUGGUGUAAAUCCAUUGAUUGGUAUCCGGUAUCCAGUUUGUUUUGUGAGAUUGGUGUAAGACCAUUGAUUGGCAUCCGGUAUCCAUUUGCUUUGUCUAUUUGCUUAUUGCUCUUUUCCUAUUCCAAAGGAAUCACUUGAAUCAUUUCCAUAUGAUCUCAAGAGGUGAACACCUAAGAAGUUUUACACUCCCC